ACGCACCGAAUUGCGAUAAGUAAUGUGAAUUGCAUAUAUUCAGUGAAUCAUCGAAUCUUUGAACGCACCUUGCGCUCCUUGGUCCUUGGUAUUCCAAGGAGCAUGUCUGUUUGAGUGUCAUUU
rnacentral:rRNA from 1 species